UGGGGAAUAUUGCACAAUGGGCGCAAGCCUGAUGCAGCCAUGCCGCGUGUGUGAAGAAGGCCUUCGGGUUGUAAAGCACUUUCAGCGAGGAGGAAGGUGGUGAGCUUAAUACGCUCAUCAAUUGACGUUACUCGCAGAAGAAGCACCGGCUAACUCCGUGCCAGCAGCCGCGGUAAUACGGAGGGUGCAAGCGUUAAUCGGAAUUACUGGGCGUAAAGCGCACGCAGGCGGUUUGUUAAGUCAGAUGUGAAAUCCCCGGGCUCAACCUGGGAACUGCAUUUGAAACUGGCAAGCUAGAGUCUCGUAGAGGGGGGUAGAAUUCCAGGUGUAGCGGUGAAAUGCGUAGAGAUCUGGAGGAAUACCGGUGGCGAAGGCGGCCCCCUGGACGAAGACUGACGCUCAGGUGCGAAAGCGUGGGGCAGCAAACAGGAUUAGAUACCCUGGUAGUCCACGCUGUAAACGAUGUCGAUUUUGGAGGUUGUGCCCUUGAGGCGUGGCUUCCGGAGCUAACGCGUUAAAUCGACCGCCUGGGGAGUACGGCCGCAAGGUUAAAACUCAAAGGAAUUGACGGGGUCAUAGCUGUUUCCU
rnacentral:rRNA from 1 species